AACAGUGUCGGUGGCUGGUGGCAGCGUGUAGGCGCCGUAACAGAACUGGCCACCGCCAACAUUAGCGUAAGCGUGGCGCGGACAGAGACGGCCAAUUGUGACUGGGAUUUGGCAGCAGCAAAGUGCUUCCACUUUCAGCCAUAUAUGACGCAGUAAAGACAUAUAUUGCGCAAACACUCAACAAAGAGGGCUCGUUGCUCGGAAAAAACAACAACUAAGACCGAGACAAUUUUCCCAGAAGGGGACUCAGCUUCAAUUUGAAUUAGCUUGAGUUGUAGAAAAGCUUUUCUAUCAAUACUAGGUGCAGCUCAAGGCUAUAAUACAAAUAGCCUGCAAUGCUGUGUUAGAAAUCUAAGUGGAUGCAAGCAUUAUCUUGAAUCAGAAUCAGCGUGAUGGACUAUUUGAGGAACGUGAUCGACACCCUCCAAGAUCCAUACUUGGUGUCAAGAUUUCAACGUUACUUUGGUAUUAGAGAGACAUCUUAUCCUGAAGCUCCAAAGUUUUAUCAGAGAAAUGGCAGAUCAUAUGCCCGUGACUUAAGCCCAGUCAGUCACGGACAGGAUGAGUAUGUGGAGACGACCACCUUGAAUGAUGAACAGCCGUCAGGUGCAGCUGUGAAGAGAUUUGUUGAAAACAGCAGCACACAUGGAAAUCAAGGGAGUGAUGAUGAAACCUCUGGGUCCGAUUCAGCAGGCUCAGGAAAAUCCAAAAUCAAGGCUUUGCUGUUUCAGAGCAUGACAGCAGAAGGCGAGUACACAGACUCUGAUGGAGAGACAAGAGAUUUUAUAGUCACAAAGCCAUUUUGGCAUGCAUUGUUUGUAUUUGGAAGUGCUCUUGGUGAUGAACUAUUUUAUGCAACAUUUUUCCCAUUGUGGUUUUGGAAUAUUGAUGGAGCUGUUGGAAGAAGAGCAGUUCUAGUCUGGUAUGGCAUCAUGUAUAUAGGGCAGGCCAUGAAGGAUGUCCUGAAGAUACCACGUCCAGCGUGUCCUCCAGUAAUACGGGUGCAGAAGAAGUGGGCUCUGGAGUAUGGAUUUCCCUCUACACAUUCCAUGAUUGGGAUUGCAAUGCCAGCUGCACUCUCAAUAUUUACCAUUGAGCGCUAUCAAUACCCGGUGAUCCCGACAC